AGCCAAACCCUAACAUCUAACAUAAUCAUCAAAUUGAAGGUCAAAAUGAAGUUCAAAUUCACAAUCAAACAUGAAUAAACGAUCACCAAGUCAAGGGGAUCGUAAGUUUGACUCUUGACAAGCUAGACGGAGGCUUGGGAAAAGAAGCGGGUCAAACGAAGCAAGAAUGGCGGAAAAGCAUAAUUCGAAUGCAAGGUACAUUUUGGAUGCCGGAAGACGAUCAAGCAUCAUCGAAG